AAUACGAAGGUGGCAAGCGUUGUUCGGAUUUACUGGGCGUACAGGGAGCGUAGGCGGUUGGGUAAGCCCUCCGUGAAAUCUCCGGGCUUAACCCGGAAAGUGCGGAGGGGACUGCUCGGCUAGAGGAUGGGAGAGGAGCGCGGAAUUCCCGGUGUAGCGGUGAAAUGCGUAGAGAUCGGGAGGAAGGCCGGUGGCGAAGGCGGCGCUCUGGAACAUUUCUGACGCUGAGGCUCGAAAGCGUGGGGAGCAAACAGGAUUAGAUACCCUGGUAGUCCACGCCCUAAACGAUGGAUACUAAGUGUCGGCGGGUUACCGUCGGUGCCGCAGCUAACGCAAUAAGUAUCCCGCCUGGGAAGUACGGCCGCAAGGUU
rnacentral:rRNA from 1 species